GAAGGUAGCGGAGGAUUUUGAGAUGUAGCAGAUCGAAAAAGAUGAACAAAAGUUUCAAGUGUAAAAUUUGAGAGCAGAAGCACAAUCACAAAGACAAAAUGUGUGAUAUCUAUUCAGCGGCUCUCUUCCCAGUCAAAACCAGCCUCUCUUUUCUUCGCCCAGUUAAACACACACACACACACACACACACACACACACACACACACAUAUGCUGCAUUACCAACAGUCAGUGAGAAGUGAGGAGUUUCCAUGGCGACGGGAUGGGUGCACCUGCCUGUCGCUGAUAUUUACAAGUCAUAAACGGUGUUUAAUUAUAUUGCUGCCACAUGAACUCUGUGUGCGUGCGUGCUUCUACGCAUGUACGCACGCGCCUGUGUGCACGUGUGCGCGUUAGUGUGCAGAAGGAUUAAAGACGUGCUGUUGUGGUUGUGUGCAGCCAGAGCGCCCUCCUCAGCAGAGUGAAAGCCGAAGACAUUAAAUAUAAAUAGGACCGACGUCAUCCCCAUCUCUGGAGAGAAGCAGAGGAAAGAUGAGGGGAGGAGAGAGGGAAGGAGGAGAGCAAUAGAAAAGAAAAAUGGGAUGAAAGGGGGAAAGUAGAAGAGGAGGAGGAGGAGGAGGAAAGAGGUUUCACAUCAAGUAGGAACCGACGCGACCCUCCUCCACCCCAUUCACCUCCAGCGCACAAGGUCCCUUCUACUGAGCUCAUCAGAAGUCCCACUCCACAUCCCAUCAUCCAGAUCUUCAGCCACCUCUCUGUCUGGACUCCUGGGGGGGAAUAUUCCUGUACUAACCACGGCAUCACUAACCCCCUAAAUAUGACUGUUAGCAUGGAGUCUAAUCGACAAUAAAUGUAUAUGGUCACUAUAAAUUAAAUCUCAACUGAAUUUCCA